AAUAGGCUUGGUCCUGGCCUUUCUAUUAGCUCUUAGCAGGAUUACACAUGCAAGCAUCCCCGCUCCAGUGAAGACGCCCUACAAAUCAUCAUGACCAAGAGGAGCAAGCAUCAAGCACGCACACGCAGCUCAAAACGCUUUGCCUAGCCACACCCCCACGGGAGACAGCAGUGACAAAUAUUUAGCAAUAAACGAAAGUUCAACUAAGCCAUGCUAUAUUUAGGGUUGGUCAAUUUCGUGCCAGCCACCGCGGUUACACGAUUAACCCCAGCUAAUAGGGAUCGGCGUAGAGGGUGUUUAAGAUCUAACAUAAUAAAGCUAAACUCCACCUAAACUGUAAAACCCUAGCUAAUGUAAAAUAAACUACGAAAGUGGCUUUAAAGCUUCUGAACACACAAUAGCCAAGACCCAAACUGGGAUUAGACACCCCACUAUGCUUGGCCCUAAACCUCAGUAAUUAGAUAACAAAACUACUCGCCAGAAUACUACAAGCAACAGCUUGAAACUCAAAGGACUUGACGGUGCUUUACAUCCCCCUAGAGGAGCCUGUUCCGUAAUCGAUAAACCCCGAUCCACCCUACCCUCUCUUGCUCAGCCUAUAUACCGCCAUCUUCAGCAAACCCUAAUGAAGGCCACAAAGUGAGCGCAAACGCCACCGCCGCGAAUACGUUAGGUCAAGGUGUAGCCCAUGAGACGGUAAAAAAUGGGCUACAUUUUCUAUUUCAGAAAACCCACGAAAACCCUUAUGAAACUUAAGGGUCCAAGGAGGAUUUAGCAGUAAAUUAAGAAUAGAGUGCUUAAUUGAACCAGGCCAUAAAGCGCGCACACACCGCCCGUCACUCCUCUCAAAUAUAUUUAAGGAAUAUCCUAACUAAACGCCCUAAUAUUUAUAUAGAGAGGAUAAGUCGUAACAUGGUAAGCGUACUGGAAGGUGCGCUUGGAUAAAU
rnacentral:ncRNA from 1 species